GUUUGAUCCUGGCUCAGGAUGAACGCUGGCGGCGUGCUUAACACAUGCAAGUCGAACGAUGAUCCCAGCUUGCUGGGGGAUUAGUGGCGAACGGGUGAGUAACACGUGAGUAACCUGCCCUUAACUCUGGGAUAAGCCUGGGAAACUGGGUCUAAUACCGGAUAUGACUCCUCAUCGCAUGGUGGGGGGUGGAAAGCUUUAUUGUGGUUUUGGAUGGACUCGCGGCCUAUCAGCUUGUUGGUGAGGUAAUGGCUCACCAAGGCGACGACGGGUAGCCGGCCUGAGAGGGUGACCGGCCACACUGGGACUGAGACACGGCCCAGACUCCUACGGGAGGCAGCAGUGGGGAAUAUUGCACAAUGGGCGAAAGCCUGAUGCAGCGACGCCGCGUGAGGGAUGACGGCCUUCGGGUUGUAAACCUCUUUCAGUAGGGAAGAAGCGAAAGUGACGGUACCUGCAGAAGAAGCGCCGGCUAACUACGUGCCAGCAGCCGCGGUAAUACGUAGGGCGCAAGCGUUAUCCGGAAUUAUUGGGCGUAAAGAGCGUCGUAGGCGGUUUGUCGCGUCUGCCGUGAAAGUCCGGGGCUCAACUCCGGAUCUGCGGUGGGUACGGGCAGACUAGAGUGAUGUAGGGGAGACUGGAAUUCCUGGUGUAGCGGUGAAAUGCGCAGAUAUCAGGAGGAACACCGAUGGCGAAGGCAGGUCUCUGGGCAUUAACUGACGCUGAGGAGCGAAAGCAUGGGGAGCGAACAGGAUUAGAUACCCUGGUAGUCCAUGCCGUAAACGUUGGGCACUAGGUGUGGGGGACAUUCCACGUUUUCCGCGCCGUAGCUAACGCAUUAAGUGCCCCGCCUGGGGAGUACGGCCGCAAGGCUAAAACUCAAAGGAAUUGACGG
rnacentral:rRNA from 1 species